UUAAUACUCCCUCCGUUCCAAAAUAGAUGACUCAGUUUUGUACUAAAGUUAGUACAAAGUUGAGUCAUCUAUUUUGGAACGGAGGGAGUAUAUA
rfam:Triticum aestivum genome assembly, contig: Triticum_aestivum_CS42_TGACv1_scaffold_407046_5BL